rnacentral:rRNA from 1 species
CCUACGGGAGGCAGCAGUGGGGAAUAUUGCACAAUGGGGGAAACCCUGAUGCAGCGACGCCGCGUGAGUGAAGAAGUAAUUCGUUAUGUAAAGCUCUAUCAGCAGGGAAGAAAAUGACGGUACCUGAGUAAGAAGCCCCGGCUAACUACGUGCCAGCAGCCGCGGUAAUACGUAGGGGGCAAGCGUUAUCCGGAUUUACUGGGGGUAAAGGGAGCGUAGACGGCAGUGCAAGUCUGGAGUGAAAGGCGGGGGCUCAACCCCCGGACUGCUCUGGAAACGGUACGGCUGGAGUGCAGGAGAGGUAAGUGGAAGUCCUAGUGUAGCGGUGAAAUGCGGAGAGAUUAGGAGGAACACCAGUGGCGAAGGCGGCUUACUGGACUGUAACUGACGUUGAGGCUCGAAAGCGUGGGGAGCAAACAGGAUUAGAUACCCGAGUAGUC